CCCAUGGGCUGUGGUACUGCAGAAACCGAGUAGCAAGCAGUUGUGCUAAAUGUCAGUAUGUGGUCCUCUGUGAACCUCUCACCUGGUCUCCUAGCUGUGUCUUUGCCUUGGCAGCAUCCCUGGUGCAGAAGGCAGGCCUGCUACAAGAGGGUUGGAACUGUGUCUGCCUUAUUGCAGUUCUUCUGUCCCGUGCCCUGCUCCAUUUUUGUCAUUCAGUUUGUCUUCAGGACCAGUUUCAGCGUCUCAUUGCAGCUUACAGUGUCUCACUGGAACGUACUCAAAAUAAAAUUAGGAGCUUGGCUCAGCUACUGUGCCACCAGACCAACUUUCUGCAAUAUCCUGCUCCAUCCCCUGCUGAUCUAGAGUGAUAAUUUUUGGCUUUUUGUUGACAUUCAUUGUCUCCCCUGCCUUGUUUUACUGAAAACUGUAAUGUUCUGGUUAUUCAGAGCCUAGGGAAAGAAGGAUUAGCCAGAGAUCAUCAGUCACCAUCAUAACCCAUCAUACUCAUCCUCUCCUCUUCAGAACUCGGAUUUGCUAUGGAGUCACUCGUCACCUUUGUCUUGAGCCACAUAGGGCCACUUGGUCACGUGCAGAUCUCCAGCAUGUCUAAGCCCAUGACCCUCACUGCAUCUGUUGUUCCACCCACCGGUCUCCAUCGUGUCUGUGCCCCUUGUGUCACCAGUCCCGCUUGCCAGUGCUC
rnacentral:lncRNA from 1 species